UUUACCAAUGUAGGGAUAAAGAGACUGAGGUAUCAGGAAGGCAAGGCUGGAUUAAAGCUAGAAGGUACGUAAACGGCGUAUGGAAGAUUGCACACGUGCUUUCUCCCACGGACCUCCAGAAGUCCUCCUGGGAGAGGGAACAGCCCUGUGCUGUGGCUUCCUUCAGCUCCCAGCCCUGAGCGCCACCUGCACGAGCCUCCCAGGAUACGGACUAUACCAGCCAGGAGCCAGGCUCUCCCCACUCCCACCCCUUGGCAAUGGAAUGCCACCAAUCCCAGCCUGCCUGUCGCAGCCCUGCCGAAUGGAAUUCAAAAAUUUGCAGUACUUGCACUCUUUGGGAGCUGGCCUUGGGAUAUUCACCCAUUUGCCUGUUGGCCUGGACAGGACUGUGUUGGUGCCACCUGAGAGUCGACCUCAAUUCUGUUUCUUAGAAUUUCCCAUAUCUCUGAGUCUUCUGCCUUGAACAAAUGUCUUGGGAAGUCCCGGGCUCUCUUGGUCUCAUUUAAUAUCAC